AUCUCGUUACAAGGAACUCAAUCCAACAAAACGCUUACUACUCUUAAAAGCACUUUGUGAACUCAGAGCUGAUCAAGAUGAUGCCUUAGCUUAUAUUAACGAUGCUCUGAAACAAGGAACUGAAGUUUCUUUCUUUCGCAAAAAUAAGAUAGGAGGAGAUGGAAAUGGAACUUCCUAUUGGUACGAGGGAACUACGAUUUAUGAG